UUAAGCGACUAAGCGUACACGGUGGAUGCCCUGGCAGUCAGAGGCGAUGAAGGACGUGCUAAUCUGCGAAAAGCGUCGGUAAGGUGAUAUGAACCGUUAUAACCGGCGAUGUCCGAAUGGGGAAACCCAGUGCAAUUCGUUGCACUAUCGUUAACUGAAUACAUAGGUUAACGAGGCGAACCGGGGGAACUGAAACAUCUAAGUACCCCGAGGAAAAGAAAUCAACCGAGAUUCCCCCAGUAGCGGCGAGCGAACGGGGAGCAGCCCAGAGUCUGAAUCAGCUUGUGUGUUAGUGGAACGGUCUGGAAAGUCCGACGGUACAGGGUGAUAGUCCCGUACACCAAAAUGCACAGGCUGUGAACUCGAAGAGUAGGGCGGGACACGUGGUAUCCUGUCUGAAUAUGGGGGGACCAUCCUCCAAGGCUAAAUACUCCUGACUGACCGAUAGUGAACCAGUACCGUGAGGGAAAGGCGAAAAGAACCCCGGCGAGGGGAGUGAAAAAGAACCUGAAACCGUGUACGUACAAGCAGUGGGAGCACCUUCGGGUGUGACUGCGUACCUUUUGUAUAAUGGGUCAGCGACUUAUAUUCUGUAGCAAGGUUAACCGUAUAGGGGAGCCGCAGGGAAACCGAGUCUUAACUGGGCGUUAAGUUGCAGGGUAUAGACCCGAAACCCGGUGAUCUAGCCAUGGGCAGGUUGAAGGUUGGGUAACACUAACUGGAGGACCGAACCGACUAAUGUUGAAAAAUUAGCGGAUGACUUGUGGCUGGGGGUGAAAGGCCAAUCAAACCGGGAGAUAGCUGGUUCUCCCCGAAAGCUAUUUAGGUAGCGCCUCGUGAAUUCAUCUUCGGGGGUAGAGCACUGUUUCGGCUAGGGGGUCAUCCCGACUUACCAACCCGAUGCAAACUACGAAUACCGAAGAAUGUUAUCACGGGAGACACACGGCGGGUGCUAACGUCCGUCGUGAAGAGGGAAACAACCCAGACCGCCAGCUAAGGUCCCAAAGUCAUGGUUAAGUGGGAAACGAUGUGGGAAGGCACAGACAGCCAGGAUGUUGGCUUAGAAGCAGCCAUCAUUUAAAGAAAGCGUAAUAGCUCACUGGUCGAGUCGGCCUGCGCGGAAGAUGUAACGGGGCUAAACCAUGCACCGAAGCUGCGGCAGCGACACUAUGUGUUGUUGGGUAGGGGAGCGUUCUGUAAGCCUGCGAAGGUGGCCUGUGAGGGUUGCUGGAGGUAUCAGAAGUGCGAAUGCUGACAUAAGUAACGAUAAAGCGGGUGAAAAGCCCGCUCGCCGGAAGACCAAGGGUUCCUGUCCAACGUUAAUCGGGGCAGGGUGAGUCGACCCCUAAGGCGAGGCCGAAAGGCGUAGUCGAUGGGAAACAGGUUAAUAUUCCUGUACUUGGUGUUACUGCGAAGGGGGGACGGAGAAGGCUAUGUUAGCCGGGCGACGGUUGUCCCGGUUUAAGCAUGUAGGCUGGUUAUCCAGGCAAAUCCGGAUAAUCAAGGCUGAGGUGUGAUGACGAGGCACUACGGUGCUGAAGUAACAAAUGCCCUGCUUCCAGGAAAAGCCUCUAAGCAUCAGGUAACAUCAAAUCGUACCCCAAACCGACACAGGUGGUCAGGUAGAGAAUACCAAGGCGCUUGAGAGAACUCGGGUGAAGGAACUAGGCAAAAUGGUGCCGUAACUUCGGGAGAAGGCACGCUGGUGUGUAGGUGAAGUCCCUGCGGAUGGAGCUGAGACCAGUCGAAGAUACCAGCUGGCUGCAACUGUUUAUUAAAAACACAGCACUGUGCAAACACGAAAGUGGACGUAUACGGUGUGACGCCUGCCCGGUGCCGGAAGGUUAAUUGAUGGGGUUAUCCGUAAGGAGAAGCUCUUGAUCGAAGCCCCGGUAAACGGCGGCCGUAACUAUAACGGUCCUAAGGUAGCGAAAUUCCUUGUCGGGUAAGUUCCGACCUGCACGAAUGGCGUAAUGAUGGCCAGGCUGUCUCCACCCGAGACUCAGUGAAAUUGAACUCGCUGUGAAGAUGCAGUGUACCCGCGGCAAGACGGAAAGACCCCGUGAACCUUUACUAUAGCUUGACACUGAACAUUGAGCCUUGAUGUGUAGGAUAGGUGGGAGGCUUUGAAGCGUGGACGCCAGUCUGCGUGGAGCCAACCUUGAAAUACCACCCUUUAAUGUUUGAUGUUCUAACGUUGGCCCCUGACCGGGGUUGCGGACAGUGUCUGGUGGGUAGUUUGACUGGGGCGGUCUCCUCCCAAAGCGUAACGGAGGAGCACGAAGGUUAGCUAAUCCUGGUCGGACAUCAGGAGGUUAGUGCAAUGGCAUAAGCUAGCUUGACUGCGAGCGUGACGGCGCGAGCAGGUGCGAAAGCAGGUCAUAGUGAUCCGGUGGUUCUGAAUGGAAGGGCCAUCGCUCAACGGAUAAAAGGUACUCCGGGGAUAACAGGCUGAUACCGCCCAAGAGUUCAUAUCGACGGCGGUGUUUGGCACCUCGAUGUCGGCUCAUCACAUCCUGGGGCUGAAGUAGGUCCCAAGGGUAUGGCUGUUCGCCAUUUAAAGUGGUACGCGAGCUGGGUUUAGAACGUCGUGAGACAGUUCGGUCCCUAUCUGCCGUGGGCGCUGGAGAAUUGAGGGGGGCUGCUCCUAGUACGAGAGGACCGGAGUGGACGCAUCACUGGUGUUCGGGUUGUCAUGCCAAUGGCACUGCCCGGUAGCUAAAUGCGGAAGAGAUAAGUGCUGAAAGCAUCUAAGCACGAAACUUGCCCCGAGAUGAGUUCUCCCUGAGACUUUAAGUCUCCUGAAGGAACGUUGAAGACGACGACGUUGAUAGGCCGGGUGUGUAAGCGCAGCGAUGCGUUGAGCUAACCGGUACUAAUGAACCGUGAGGCUUAACCUU
rnacentral:rRNA from 1 species